CCUACGGGAGCACCAGGCGAGAAAACUUUGCAAUGUGCGAAAGCACGACAAGGUUAAUCCGAGUGGUUUCUGCUAAAGGAACCUUUUGACAGUCCUAGAAACACUGUUGAAUAAGGGGUGGGCAAGUUCUGGUGUCAGCCGCCGCGGUAAAACCGGCACCUCAAGUGGUCAGGAUGAUUAUUGGGCCUAAAGCAUCCGUAGCCGGCUCUGUAAGUUUUCGGUUAAAUCUGUACGCUCAACGUACAGGCUGCCGGGAAUACUGCAGAGCUAGGGAGUGGGAGAGGUAGACGGUACUCGGUAGGAAGGGGUAAAAUCCUUUGAUCUAUUGAUGACCACCUGUGGCGAAGGCGGUCUACCAGAACACGUCCGACGGUGAGGGAUGAAAGCUGGGGGAGCAAACCGGAUUAGAUACCCGCGUAGUC
rnacentral:rRNA from 1 species